rnacentral:hammerhead_ribozyme from 1 species
GGACUGCCGAGGAGUCCCACAAUAGGACGAAACGGCCGUCCAGUGC